AUUGAACGCUGGCGGCAUGCUUUACACAUGCAAGUCGAACGGUAACAGGGAGCUUGCUCCGCUGACGAGUGGCGAACGGGUGAGUAAUGCAUCGGAACGUACCCAGUCGUGGGGGAUAAUGUAGCGAAAGUUACGCUAAUACCGCAUACGUCCUGAGGGAGAAAGCGGGGGACCGUAAGGCCUCGCGCGAUUGGAGCGGCCGAUGUCGGAUUAGCUAGUUGGUAGGGUAAAGGCCUACCAAGGCGACGAUCCGUAGCGGGUCUGAGAGGAUGAUCCGCCACACUGGGACUGAGACACGGCCCAGACUCCUACGGGAGGCAGCAGUGGGGAAUUUUGGACAAUGGGCGAAAGCCUGAUCCAGCCAUGCCGCGUGAGUGAAGAAGGCCUUUGGGUUGUAAAGCUCUUUCAGCCGGAAAGAAAUCGCGCAGGAUAAUACUCCGUGUGGAUGACGGUACCGGAAGAAGAAGCACCGGCUAACUACGUGCCAGCAGCCGCGGUAAUGU
rnacentral:rRNA from 1 species